UCCGUGUAACGUAUUACAAACUGUCACUGAAAAUCGUUCCGUUUCACAUAGCCUUAAUGAGAAUUACAGAGAGGAUUAAACAAUGCAUAUACGUACCGUAUUUGCUCUGAUCCAGGCUUGUGCAGCGGGGAUAUCACUGAACGAUACAGCUCCGCCACCAAGAACUUUAAUAAGGAUGUUAAUCAGUGCUAAGCAGUCCGGAGUUUCACCAAUGUCCAGCCAGAUAACCUGACGAGAAUCUGAGGCAGCCCAAGCAACAGCCAGGGCUAAGACGGUCUUACCGAGGCCCCCCAUACCACGAAUACCAAAAACAUCGCCACUACGAACCCCGACCACACAAACUCUAUUAUUUCCCUGCAUAAGUAAUCCCAAUAUCUUGCCCACUUCUGAUGGUCGUUGCACCAUAUCACGAGGUAGAUUGCGUAGUCCAUACGGAACU